UCAGGAGAAUGCAUUGGA
rnacentral:snRNA from 1 species